CAGCCCGGCUAGCUCAAUUGGCAGAGCGUGUGACUUUUAGAUGUGAUUUUCACCUGAAAUCACAAGGUUCGGGGUUCGACCCCCCGGUCGGGCAAUC